rfam:Salmo salar isolate Sally breed double haploid chromosome ssa11, whole genome shotgun sequence.
UGGCUCAGUUGGUAGAGCAUGGUGUUAGCAACGCCAGGGUUGUGGGUUCAAUUCCCAC